UCCUCUUCCUCAAAUAUGUCUUUUUUUAUUUGUUGAUUUUUUUUGUGUGUAUAUCAUACAGAACAUCCCACACAAUCCCACAAAUUUUCAUCCUCCAUCAAGCCAA